rnacentral:rRNA from 1 species
GACGAACGCUGGCGGCGUGCUUAACACAUGCAAGUCGAACGGAAAGGCCCUGCUUUUGUGGGGUGCUCGAGUGGCGAACGGGUGAGUAACACGUGAGUAACCUGCCCUUGACUUUGGGAUAACUUCAGGAAACUGGGGCUAAUACCGGAUAGGAGCUCCUGCUGCAUGGUGGGGGUUGGAAAGUUUCGGCGGUUGGGGAUGGACUCGCGGCUUAUCAGCUUGUUGGUGGGGUAGUGGCUUACCAAGGCUUUGACGGGUAGCCGGCCUGAGAGGGUGACCGGCCACAUUGGGACUGAGAUACGGCCCAGACUCCUACGGGAGGCAGCAGUGGGGAAUAUUGCACAAUGGGCGGAAGCCUGAUGCAGCAACGCCGCGUGCGGGAUGACGGCCUUCGGGUUGUAAACCGCUUUCGCCUGUGACGAAGCGUGAGUGACGGUAAUGGGUAAAGAAGCACCGGCUAACUACGUGCCAGCAGCCGCGGUGAUACGUAGGGUGCGAGCGUUGUCCGGAUUUAUUGGGCGUAAAGGGCUCGUAGGUGGUUGAUCGCGUCGGAAGUGUAAUCUUGGGGCUUAACCCUGAGCGUGCUUUCGAUACGGGUUGACUUGAGGAAGGUAGGGGAGAAUGGAAUUCCUGGUGGAGCGGUGGAAUGCGCAGAUAUCAGGAGGAACACCAGUGGCGAAGGCGGUUCUCUGGGCCUUUCCUGACGCUGAGGAGCGAAAGCGUGGGGAGCGAACAGGCUUAGAUACCCUGGUAGUCCACGCUGUAAACGGUGGGUACUAGGUGUGGGGUCCAUUCCACGGGUUCCGUGCCGUAGCUAACGCUUUAAGUACCCCGCCUGGGGAGUACGGCCGCAAGGCUAAAACUCAAAGGAAUUGACGGGGCCCCGCACAAGCGGCGGAGCAUGCGGAUUAAUUCGAUGCAACGCGUAGAACCUUACCUGGGUUUGACAUGGAUCGGAAGCGCCCAGAGAUGGGUGUGCCUCUUUUGGGGUCGGUUCACAGGUGGUGCAUGGCUGUCGUCAGCUCGUGUCGUGAGAUGUUGGGUUAAGUCCCGCAACGAGCGCAACCCUUGUUCACUGUUGCCAGCACGUUAUGGUGGGGACUCAGUGGAGACCGCCGGGGUCAACUCGGAGGAAGGUGGGGAUGACGUCAAGUCAUCAUGCCCCUUAUGUCCAGGGCUUCACGCAUGCUACAAUGGCUGGUACAGAGAGUGGCGAGCCUGUGAGGGUGAGCGAAUCUCGGAAAGCCGGUCUCAGUUCGGAUUGGGGUCUGCAACUCGACCUCAUGAAGUCGGAGUCGCUAGUAAUCGCAGAUCAGCAACGCUGCGGUGAAUACGUUCCCGGGGCU